AACAGAUACCAUGAUUCGUGAGCUUGAAAGGAUAAAGUAGAAUAGUUAACUGAAGAAAGAAGGAAUUAAUCAAUUGGAAUACAGAAUUGAAAGAAUCAAUCAAUAAACAUGUACGCGUGGGUCUUUCAAUGAUGAGAUGAAAGAAAUAGUUGAGCUGGAAAUGGCAACGAAGGGUAUGUUGAAAUGGGUUGAGAAGAAUACGGAUCUCAAGAAAACAAAGAUCAACUUUACAAGCAUGUCACUUACUCAUGGCAGGAGCAUGGAUUGGGGAGGUGACAAAGAUGGCAGCUGUUAUAACCAAACGACUCCAAUUAAAGAUCCGUCGUAUUGGGGAAACUGAUCGCGUAAGAGCAUAAUGAGAGUAAUCAGAGACGUGUUUAAUAAAACUAAGGUUGUCUUCAGUGAGAUUUGGAAGGUAAAAUAAGAGCAUGGAGGCCAAUAGAAUAUGCCGUGUAAAGGUUUCAACUUUUUCCAGAAGCACCACGUCAGAUAUUUUGCCCUAUAGUACUUCUCUCCAUGUUUUUAUAGUGACCGGAUUCUAUUACGGAUGCUCAAGUUUGAAGAUGUAUUUCCAUGUGGAUAGAUCACUCCACGCCACCAAUGCUAAAUGUAUUUUCAUUUGAUGUUGUUCGAAGGGGGAAUGAUGAGAUGGUAAUAUAUAAGUCAUAAGAGGUAAAGUCUGGCAUUGCAUGGGUACCAAUGUGUUCCAAUUAAGUAACAUCACUCAUUCUGCAAUAGUGUAUGCCCAAACGUCAUACGGGCUCCAUAAACUACAUGUUACUGUCACUUAUGACACUAAUUUUUCUUAAGAACUUCAAUGAAGAUCGAGAAUAUGAAAAUUCCAAGUAUUGGUGUUGCUUAUGAUCGAGGUUGAAGUGUGAAUCAUGAUUAAGUUGAUUGUUAAAACAUUUGUUUGGCAUCACAUUUCACAGAUAUGAAAUGAAUUUCAUCAUGCCCUAUGAAACACUGCUAAUGUACUCACGAUAAUCCCAGGUAUUGUAUGAAUGUCGACGUUAUUUCUGUAAGUUGUUGGUCUCAUUUUCCUUUGUCACUGUUGCUAGAUGAAUUUUCAGAGUUGCCAACCACACUAUAUUUGGGAAUUCCUGUUUUAAUAACAAGUAUAAAGAGAUAUUUGAGAUACAGUUUUUCGACGAUAGAUAAACUUCAUCCAAAAGGUGGAAAUAUUUGCAAAGGUGCCACUUCUAUCACUAAAUGAUCCUAUGGUAAACAUGGUGAAUAUCUUUGGGGGCUGCAUUAGAAUAACAUAGGAAAAAGAAAUUCUUAACUAAUAGAGAGGUCUCGCUUGAAGUUGAAAACUUAUGUACUUCCAAGUUUGUAGUGUUAGGCCAGGGUUUGAUGAAGAACCGAAGUACUCAGAUAUCUAUCCAAGUUAAGUAAUUGGAUAUGGGCUCUGGAGAAGAAGAUAUCAUCACUGCUUAAACACUUGGUGGUUGAACAAGAUUACUAUUUUUUUUCCAGAUCCGUAAUGCCUUCUCACCUUGGAAUAAUUUUUUUUUUUUUUUUUUUUUGGAAUUCGAUGAUUUUUAGUUUUAUUUUUAGACGA